AUGGGUUUUGAAGACCAUGAAAAUUUUCAAACAAAGAAAAUACACCUAAGGACCCAUCAUGAUAUCGAUUUUGAAGUAAAUCUGUACAAUUCUCAUAGCAUAACCCAUUUUGGUUGCCAAAAUUGGGAAGCACUUUGCAAAAUGUAUGGUUUUUAUAAGGGUAUGAUUGUUACCAUGGAUCUUGGUGAUCCUGACAUCGAGCAAGACAAUAUGGACAUUUGGGUCCUUGUUGAUACGCUUCCGAUUCUACCGCAAUCUUCUUUUCAAUCUUCAAAGAAUGUGCAGAAGAUGGAAGACAAAACCCACUAG
rnacentral:rRNA from 1 species